rnacentral:rRNA from 1 species
AUUGAACGCUGGCGGCAGGCCUAACACAUGCAAGUCGAACGGUAACAGGAAGAAGCUUGCUUCUUUGCUGACGAGCGGCGGACGGGUGAGCAAUGUCUGGGAAACUGCCUGAUGGAGGGGGAUAACUACUGGAAACGGUAGCUAAUACCGCAUAACGUCGCAAGACCAAAGAGGGGGACCUUCGGGCCUCUUGCCAUCGGAUGUGCCCAGAUGGGAUUAGCUAGUAGGUGGGGUAACGGCUCACCUAGGCGACGACCCCUAGCUGGUCUGAGAGGAUGACCGGCCACACUGGAACUGAGACACGGUCCAGACUCCUACGGGAGGCAGCAGUGGGGAAUAUUGCACAAUGGGCGCAAGCCUGAUGCAGCCAUGCCGCGUGUAUGAAGAAGGCCUUCGGGUUGUAAAGUACUUUCAGCCGGGAGGAAGGGAGUAAAGUUAAUACCUUGGCUCAUUGACGUUACCCGCAGAAGAAGCCCCGGCUAACUCCGUG